UGAAUUAGAGUUUUCGUCUUUUCCAGUUAUAUGCCCAGGAGUGGAAUUGCAGCAUCAUAUGGUAGCUCUAUUUUUAGUUUUUUAAGGACCAUCCAAACUGUUUUCCACAGUAUGGAAUUUACAUUCCCACCAACCACAUCCUUGCCAACAUUUGUUAUUUGUGUUCUUUUUAUGAUGGCCAUUCUGACAGGUGUGAGGUGAUACAUCAUUGUGGUUUUGAUUUGCACUUCCCUGAUGAUUAGUAGUGUUGAACAUCUUUUCCUGUGCCUGCUGGCCGUCUGCAUUUCCUCUUUGGAAAAAUGUCUAUUCAGGUCUGCUGCCCAUUUUUUAAUCAGGUUUUUUUUUUUGAUGUUGAGUUAUAUGAACUGUUUAUAUAUUUUGGAUAUUAACCCCUUAUCAGCCAUAUCAUUUGCAAAUAUUUUCUCCCAUUCAGUAGGUUGUCUUUUCAUUUUGUUUAUGGUUUCCUUUGCUAUGCAAAAGCUUUUAAGUUUAAUUAGGUCCUAUUUGUUUAUUUCUGGUUUUAUUUCCUUUGCUUUAGGAGACAGAUCCAAAAAAAAUACUGACAGAUUUCUUUAAUAGGUGGUGACAAUUUCACCGAAAAAAAUUUACCAAAUGUCUACCAAAAAAUAAUAAAUAUGUUAAAUUGUGUUUAGCAAUUAUGAAGUGGUUGAUACUAUAUUAUAUGAUUUUCCUGUGUCGAAAUAAGCAUGGUAUUUUAAAGCAAGGUAUUUGAAAAGUAUUUACUUACUUUGAGUAUUUGGGACUCUUUGAGGCAAAGAUAUGACCACAAGCAUUUGAUAUGAAAAAGAGAAGCUCAAAUGAUUCAAACUGUAAAGCUGGAGCAGAGCCAAAAUGAGCAAGCAAAGAAGGAAGGCACCUUUGAGGCUGCUACAUGGAGGAGGGAAACACCAGAGAAAAAGAUUUGCUUCAUGAAGAAAUGGUCUCACACUGAUGAGAAUCCGGAAAUUAAGCCAUCAGCCAGAUUAAUAGAAGCCUGGAGGUUCUCUGACGAGCAUGUGGAAUAACAAAGUCAGUUUUUAUUGUGGAAGUUAUCACUAUGGAGAUAGCGCUGGCAAGACUGCAGCAAACUGGGAGGAGUGAUUAAUUUCAGCAAGACUUGAAUCGAGGAAACCAGUCAAAGUCUGGAGCACAUCAUCUAAUGCAGUUCUGAGCACUGAAGGGAAAUCAUAUGGAAGAUUUCAACCUUGAAGUUAACUGCGAAGUUUGCUGCAGAUGGCGAACGUUUCAAAGGUAGAAACCAUUUUCUAAGUGAUCUGGCUAAAAGCACAUACACGAGUCCCUGGUACCACGUUUCCCAUCACAUGUUGCAGAGUUGCCGGCAAUAGGCCCUGCCUCUGGCUCCUGGGGACUUCAUUUCCCUAGAGAACUAUCUUGGUUACUCAACUUUAGACCUUGUAGGAAGAAUCACAGUUAUUUCUCUCUGGGGUCUUACUCAGAGCAAGCUACGUGGAAGUAAAUAGUCACUAAGGAGGAACAAGGAGAAAUAAACAAGCUUUCAGCCAAAUGUAUGAACAAUUCAUGUUUAAAAAAACUGGCCAGAUAUUUACAAAAAUUGUAAGUUAGGGACUGUACCACUACCCUGUUAUGACUCCUGUACAUUGUAAUCUACAUGAGACUAUGUAACCCUCCCGGCUUUUGCUGUU